rnacentral:misc_RNA from 1 species
GGGCCGGCCUCACGGGAGGCUGAUGAGCUUUGAUCCAUCGACUAACCAGACGGUGGUGCUUUUACGAGAUCUGUACUUUGCUAAUGGCUUGACGCUCUCGCCAGAUCAGCGCUCGCUCAUCUUCUGUGAGACACCACUGGUGGUGAUAGACUAUUCGGACAGACAGGAGACAAACAACAGAUGGUUACUAGAGUAAUACAAAUAUUGGCCUUUAACAAAAA